GGAGUUUGGACCGUGUCUCAGUUCCAAUGUGGGGGACCUUCCUCUCAGAACCCCUACUGAUCGUUGGCCAGGUGGGCCGUUACCCCGCCUGCUGCCUAAUCAGACGCAUCCCCAUCCCUUAGCGAUGAAUCUUUGCUUCACGUUAGAUGCCCGCUGUGAAGAACAUAGGGUAUUAAUCCGACUUUCGCCGGGCUAUGCCCUACUAAGGGGAAGGUUGGAUACGCGUUACUCACCCGUGCGCCGGUCGUCAUCUGACUGAGCAAGCUCAGCCAAUGUUACCCCUCGACUUGCAUGUGUUAAGCCUGUAGCUAGCGUUCAUC
rnacentral:rRNA from 1 species